rnacentral:lncRNA from 1 species
GAGGAGGCGGUGCUGGGGCGGGCGCAGGACUGCAGGCUGGGGCUCCGCUCCCCGGCGGGAGCCCGCGCGUGGUUCCCAGCGAAGUCCCCGCGCGGCUGGGCCCAGCGUGAGUAUUCUCCGCCCGCUGUCCUCCCCCUGGAGGCGGCAGCGCCCGUUUAUUUGAGGAAUGUUGCUGUCCACACUGGAGUGUAAGACACCUGCGGAGCUCGUCUAUGGGGCUCAUGUUGGCUGAGGCUCUGAACUACAGAACUGCAAACAACCAAGGGAGCGCCCCAGGCCCCAGGCUUCUAAUGUGAGGAAAAACACGGAAUGACAAGUGUGGGAAAGAGCAAGCACUAAAUUACUGUCAGAAAAAUAAACGGAGUAGCACAGUGCUGCUCGGUGAUUUACGGGGGCAAUUAGUCACCACCCCACGGCGCUGCUGAGGACAGCACGGCAGCAGACAAGUCAGGCCCAUGAGGAAGAAGAGGCUUUGCACUGCUCUCCAGACAACUUUUCAAACAACAAGAGAGGAUAUUUGAGCACAUUAGGUUUUGUGUCUUCAUUCUGGGUACCUACUCUUCAUAUUAUUCUACCAACUUAAUACAUAAACAUAUUUUUAGCACAAUA